rnacentral:lncRNA from 1 species
ACAUAAUCGAUUUAGAAUUAAGAUUUUUCAUAAUAUUUAUUUUCAUCAAAUCAUAUUUCUGAUCUGGAAAUAAAAUACCCUAUAAUCUUCAGACCAAUUUUCCUUAAAAUAAAAUUGCUUCAUGUGAAGGUAAAUUGUUCUGUUAUUGUCAGCAGGCCACAAAAUUACAAAUUUGAAAAUUGGUCUCUCCACUUUCUCCUGUGCCCACAAGGUAUGAUUCUGUGGCCUGUGUUUGGGUACACUUAUUCCUUGUCCUAAAGCUUUAACUUAUUUAAAUAUUUAUCGUGCAGAUUUAAAAAAUAAUAAAUAAACAAAUAAAUAUCUAAUAAUUUCAAGCUUUCAAUUAUUGAAUUGAAUCCUUUAUUUCAAUAUUUUUCAGACAAUAAGUAAAUGAUUACCAAUAAUUUCAAGGUUUGAAUUAUUGGAUUAAGCAAGUACAAAGCCAGCACAAACAAAUCUGUGCUAAAAGCAGCUGGUGACUUAUAUUAUUUUUAAUAAUAAAAAUAAUGGGUUUCGUAUAAAGAAAUAAGCUGUAAUGGUUCUGGUUGGAUAAAAUAAAAUAAAAGUAGCUGGCAACCAAACUCUCAUAAUUAGGCACUUGUAAUGGUUUUGGUUGAUAAAAUAAUAAUUGUUGGCAACUAAACAUAUCUAAGAAAAUGUCAAUUUUCUUUUUUCCUUUAUAAUCAGAGUGUUAAGUUCAAGUUUUGAAUGCUGUAAUGUUAGUGAUGGCAACGGGACGAGUUCGGAAUGCGAGGCAACUUUUUGUCUCGUUUAAUUUUUUAUAUUUUUUACAUUUUCAAAGUUUUGAAUUAUGUUAUUAUUAAAGAAUAUUUUUUUUUAAAUUUGGUGAAUUUACUAUUUUUUCUUACUACAAAAAUAAAAUAAUAAAUAAUAAAUAAUAAAUUUAUAGACCAAAAAUAGGAAUAGUUGUAAAGAAAAUAGCUAGUCUGUACUUCAUCCUUCUGGAUAUAUUUUGUUGUCACUUGACAAUAAAAAAGGAAAUAAUAGUUCUUCCAAAUUUUGAUCAACGAAAAAAAAAUAAUGGAAAUUAAAAAAUGUUGUGGAUUUUAAAAUUAUUAUGUUUCAUUAAAUUGUAUCAGAUUACAAUAUUUUUAUUUUAAAAGUACCGUUGAGCAUCCCUUGAAAAAAAAAAAAAAAAGGCCUGUUUUGAGCAUUUUAUGCAUUUUGAGUUUUUUAACUGAAAACACUUAAAACGGCAAAAACUCAUUUUGAGUUUUCAGUUAUAAAUUUUUUUCUUAUUUUCGGAAAUACAUUUUCAAAAACGACAAAAUCAAACACGUUUUGAAUAUUUUCGAAAACUAAAAACAGAAAAUGCCAACCCAAACGCUCGCUUAAUUUUCCGUCAUAUUUACUUCUCUAAUGCAAAGCACUCCUAUUCUCAAGCAAGGCGAAAUGAAGCAAGACUGAUUGGACCGGACUGGACACGACAGUUUGCUAUCACUGCUUAUGUUUCAAUUAGUGAAUAUUUAUGUAAUUUUGAAUAUCAAAAUUAAUAUAUCUAUAACAUAAAUAAAAAUAAAUAUAAUAGAUUAUUUUUUAUUUUAUUUAUUUCAGUAUCAUUUCUGUUGUCUCCAUGACUAUAGGGACCUUUCAAAGAAUAACACUUAAAUUGAUUACUCAUGAAUCUUAAUGAAGGAACAUCGAACAUGUCACAUAUGCGUCGUCGUUAUAGGACUAGUCAGUAGUUAGUAUGGAUUGAAUAAUCAUAUAAUUAUCACUUUUUCGAAUUUAUUAGCCAAAUAUAGUGAUUAUAAUCUAUUUUUACAAAAUAUAGUGCUCUUGAAAUAUUUACAAAUUAUAAGUCAUUUUCAACUUCCAAUUAAUGGGUUUAAACCAAUUAGGCAUGGCAAUGGGACGUGAAGGCAAUUACCAUCCCGUUGCAAUCCCAUGGAUUUUAAAAAAGUAGGGUGGGCGCAAGCUAUAGUAGGGCAAGGAUUAAAAAAAUAUGUAUUUACCACUCUGUUUAAUUUAUUAAUUAAUGUUUUAUUUUUAAAAUAUGAUCUAAAUUUAGAAAAUAUAUAAAAAUUGAACAAAUUAAACAAUUUGGGAUGGGUUUGAAAAAUUCGAGAUGAAGACCAUGAUCGUCGUCCUUAUCCCGUUUACCAUUCAAGGCGAGGAUCUCCCCAUCUCAUUCGGAUCAGACAAAUUAAGUCGAGCCGAGCCAGCUCGUGAAUCCAAGCUCGAGACUCAGUAUUAGCUCGUCAAAAAAAUGUUUGAGCUUUUUGAGCUCUAGCCAAGCUCAGGCUUGACUCAUCCCCAAAAGACAGGCCUUGGCCCUUGCUUUGGCUCGAGCCGACUCAUGGGCUUUUAGAUUAUUUUAAUCGAAAAUACAAAUAAAUCAUCAAUUUACUAACUACAAAAUUAAUUUAAAAAGCGGACCAUACGGGCCCACAUACAUAUCGGCCCAUAUUUGACCUCUUGCGGCUCGUGGGCUGACUUCGGCCAUAUCUCAUUUUUGAGGCUUCGAUCGAGCCUUGACUCAUACAAUCGAGCUUCGAGCCGAGCCAAUCCAAGCUUUUUGUGAUUUGAGUUGCGAGUCGCUCAAAUUGACAGGCUCGUUUGACGCUACUGAUGUGGAACGAGAAAUUUUGUCAUUCCUAAAACCAAUUUGCAGCACUUUCCAUUAUUCCACUUUCAAUAAUUAUAUUUAAUUCAUAAAGUGUUAUUGUUGCCUCGCGAUUAUGUCUGAUUGUGUUUAAAAGUAAAUUAAUUUAUAUUUAAAUUUUAAGUAACUCAUUUCGUUUAUAAUUGUUAACGUUCUUUUUGUGUUAAUAUAAAAUUAUUUUUUUUAGAAAGUAAAUAUUAACUUUCUUUUUGUAAAAGAAACCUUUAUUAUCAACCAAACAUGGAGCAACCUAAACUAUUUAUAUUGAUUUGAGUGCUCUUAUUUGGUGGAUUUACAACAAGUACUUUUAAUAUAAUAUUUUCUCAUGGAUGACUUCAAAGAUUUAUAACAAUCCUUUUGCAUCCUCCUCUCCUUUUCCCCUUGAUAAGGGUAAAUUAUACAAUUGAGUUUGAGUUGUGAUCUUUUAAGUGAAAUAUUUUAUUAAUGGACUAAUGUUCACCUUCAAAAAAAAAAAAACAUAAUCGAUUUAGAAUUAAGAUUUUUCAUAAUAUUUAUUUUCAUCAAAUCAUAUUUCUGAUCUGGAAAUAAAAUACCCUAUAAUCUUCAGACCAAUUUUCCUUAAAAUAAAAUUGCUUCAUGUGAAGGUAAAUUGUUCUGUUAUUGUCAGCAGGCCACAAAAUUACAAAUUUGAAAAUUGGUCUCUCCACUUUCUCCUGUGCCCACAAGGUAUGAUUCUGUGGCCUGUGUUUG